UUUUAAUUAAUAUUUUUUUAUUAUUAUGGUACAAAAGCAUGCAAAAAUAGCAUCUCUAAUAAUGAUACAUAUUUACAUGUAACAGUCCAGCACUAUUACCUUAAUGAGUGCAUUUACAUCAUGCAUCAGUCGCGUUAGAGACCACUGUUGCAGUCACAACCAAUAAACAAAUAUACAAAGCAAGCAGAUCGAUCAAAUACCUGUAUAUGUACACUAGCAGCAUAGGCCGUAGCAUAGGUAGUUACUGCAUUUCCCCUAUUUUCUAUUAAAGGUUUCUGAUAAUACAUGUUCAUUUUGCGUUUGUACAGUGUGUAGCGAGAAUAUAUUGAAGAACAAUCCUGCGAGCCCUUGUGAUCAGAAUGACACCAACAUCUACAUUACCUGGAAAUGCUCCGAAAAUGCAUCCUGUAGGUCACUAAAUGUUUUAAAAAUCGUUCUGCAAAACAAGCAACUCCAGAUAAGGAAAUGAUAUGGGCACCUUGUCUGUCGCAUUAUCAAGACAUAUAUAGCGUGAACAACAUAUACACAGCCAGUUAUCCAGACAGUUUCUGAGCAGUAGUUUCCUCAAUAUAUGAAUGUGUUGCCACUUUUUACAUUUAUACUGACAGUAAAAAUCAUAUCUCCCAGGUGUCCCUAUUUAGCAGGGACAGUCACUAUUUUUGAUUCAAAUCACUAAUGUCCCUCUUUUCUAGGUGCUCUGAGUGUAUAACAGAGCUCCACAGCAAUGAGACUAAAAGUAAUGUGUAUUUAAACGUCAAUAAAUGUGUUUAGAAACCAUUCUGCUUCUUACCGCACCCCUAAAAUUAAAGUGCCCGUCUGUGUUCACCUGAAAUGUUGGGAGGUGUGAAAAAUAUUUGCAUUAGAAUAAUGCAUUAAGCCAUUUUGCUACUGGUUUGGUAUUAAAAAUGUAUGUGUACAUGUAAUGAAGGUUUAAUUAUCCACCUGUUGCCAUAACAUCGUUAAGCAAUUAUUUGUCACCAAUCUUAUCUGAUCAGUACAGAAUGAAUUACAUUUCCAAAUCACUCGAUAAUAAAAUACGAACACUUUCACCUAAAAAGAUACUGAGCAUAUAACACAGAUGAGUCCGAAAUGACUUCUCAAAGUGUCCAUGUUGUAUAUUAGGAAUAUCCUCUGUUGCAUACCUCCCAAUAUUGGGAGAUCUGAGAACAGGAAGUUUGUGCAGGCCUUUAGGAGGGCAUCACCAGUGACCAAAUGUGCAUCACUUGCAUUGCCCAGAAUUCACUGGCCCACCCUUUAAGGGGUGGGCCUGCCCAUUAAAGGGGCAUGACAUCCUGACCUCAAUCACACAAGGCUGACUGACAGCAUAAAACAUGAACUGCCCUGCUGAAAUUGGGACUGUUGGAAGGCCUGCUGUUGGUCUUCUGACCAGAUAUGGUUUUUAAAAGUAUAGCAUGUACAGACUACAGCCUUGUUUUAUGUUGGAACAAGUUUAUCUCCGUACACUCAAUCCCGGUUACAUAAUAAAUGGUUUGAGAAACAUGAUUAUGAAGAGUUUGCAGUUUUACACCAAAGGUUAUAUCUAAAGUUUUGGAUCAUACCACAAUACAGUGUAAAUAUUUAAGAGGAUUUUUUCUUUUUUAAACUAUAGCAGGAGAAUUUUAGAACUCUGCUGCUUGUCUCAGCAUACAUUAAAUAUUCAUUUUCAUGAUUACCUUUGCAAUUAUUUGUUUUAAGCGGCUGUGUCACUGAAAAGUUGUAAAAAAACUAAGCAAUUUCCCACUCCCCAAUAGCUAAGUAGUCGAACUUUCUUCAGCUGUGUCACAGAAUAAGAAAUGACUAGAAUCCAUGCAAAGUGCAGAAUUGCAAAAGUAAGAAGACAAAUUGGCAUUGUCACAUCUAGCUGGAAAGUGGGUCAGCCUUAAUUUGCCUAUUUAAGAUGUAGACAUCAUCAUCUAUUCUUUCUAUACAUUCUCAUUAGCUGUAACUUAAUGCAUUGACUGUACCUCACCAGUAAUACUUUAAUAAAGCUAUGUUUGCACCUGCCUUUCAUAAGAAAUCUGUGUCACAGGGUCAUCCGCUAUCAGCUGUAAACAUUGUUCCAUAGCAUUUACUUUUAACAUAUAUAAGGGCAGGGUAUAUAUAUUUUGUACCAAAAGCAGACCAGAUAAAGUCAGGACAGGACUGAAAUAAAAACACAAACAAACCAAAAUUAGGACUGCUGAGAGGCCUGUCAUUGUAGUAGUUAUGGUGCAGAAAGGCUUUUUGGAGUGGUUUAAAAAAAUUAUCUCCGUGUACCUACAGCUAUAUCCCAAUGUUGUAGUGCUGCAGGAAACAUUUAAGAUGAGAGGGACUAGUUAUAAAUGCACCUACAGCAACAUGUAAAUAGACAUGUGCAUUCAUUUUCGUACGAAUACGAUUUCGUCCGAAAAGUCGUUUUUUUUGUCCAUAAAUGCUUUUUUUCGUAUUCGUUUAGGAAUAUGUGAAAAAAACACCCUACAUACGAAAUAUAAAUGAAACGGCAAAUGCCGAAUGCAUUACCUUUUCGUUUGUUUAAUAGACUCCGUGCUGCAGGGGAAUUAAUCCCCACAGCACAGAGAAAUAAAACUGGGCAUGUGCAAAAAAAACAAGGAGGGAGGUUGGCUGUUUGAAAAAUGAAUACAAAGGGUGAAAACAUGUCAUACAAAUUCAAAAUAAUAUAAAAAAUAAUUAUUUCUAACUUAUAAAUGAAUGAUUUAACAUUCCCAGUACCUUUCUGAGUGAGCACUAGGAUGCAUAUGGUGCUGCGCAUAGACACUGGCAAAGCUGUCGUUUUUAGCUGUGGCAUUUUCAGGAACCAUAUAUAGGAGGGUCCUCAAGGUUUAACAUUCAAAAGUAUGAACGGGGGCACUACUAACUGCCAAAAAACUUCUAACAUUAUAAACUGUGCAAAAAAACACAUAAAACAUUUAUAGAUAUGUUUUCAUAUUUCUUCCCUGCACGCUACAAGAAUUCACUAUUGGUUACUAGCUGUUUUAUUCACUACUUAGUACCAUUUAGCUUCAGGCAAUAAAAAAAAAAAAAAUGUACAUGCUUGCCUUAAGGUAAGCAAACACAUUCACUGGGUUUGUGUUCAAUUUCACAAAUCACUUUUUACUACCUAUGCUACCUUGGUCUUACAUUUAGAAUUCUCCAUUCAAUUUUCCUCAAUUCUUUAGUGAAUAAAAUUCAUCGUAUAGUAAAAUGAGUCUUUCCCAUUUAAAUAAAGCUCACAUGAUCCACAGCCAUUUCCAAAGCAAAAAAAUAUCAUGACAAUGUGUGGUAUAUGCGAGUAUUAUGGAGCUAUACAGUAUUGCAUACCAUAGCUAGGUGUAGUAGUAUCACAGAGCUCCAAAAACAGAAUCCCAACAGUAAUGUGCUGUGUGUAGAAAUGUAUUAUAAUGCUCCACAGACAGCAAUAGGCCGUGUGUCCAUCCCGGAGCUCCAUUACAAUUUUACCUCACAGCUUCACAGCAAUAAAACAAAUAAAUGUGAAUUGAUUCGGAGUGUACCCCAGCACUCCACAAUAAUAAAUCUCAUGUGUGCUGGGUAUGUUUGUAUUACAGAGCUCCAGCAAUGUAAGUUGCAUUAAUCUGCAUUGUUAAGGUUUUCCUAAUAAUGAGACACACAGUAAUGUGUAGGAUGUUGUUUUUAAUUACAGAGAUUCACAGCAGUAACAUUAAAUAUACGAAGAAGAAACAACUCAGACAUAUGCCUUCAUCUCAUUGAAGUUGUUAUGGUGACUGUGUUCCUCUGGUGCUGUGUCACAGACUAUGUUAACCAUUUUCAAGCUGGAUUUCUGCAGUUUGGGCUCCGCUGGGGGGAUGGCAGAGGCUUCACGCCAGUGAAGGGUGACAGCUGUUGCUCUCAGCCAAUCAUUGCCACCCAUCACUGCUCGAGCUAAUGUUAGGAGACAGUUAUAAGAGACUCCAGAUGCCAUGGUCAAUUCAAUGAGAUGAAGUGGUUAUGGUGCCUAGACUGUCUCUGUAACCUCAGUUUUACAUCAUUAUAAUGAAUCUGGGUGUAAGGGUUUUAGUUUUUUUUUAUUAUAGGUGAAUUUGAAAGGUAUAAAAUAUCAUGCCUCCCAAGUAGCUUUUUUUUUUUUUUUAGGGUUACCUUUAUCACUCUCAUAAGGUUCAACCAGCCUUUUAAAAAAGCUGUAGCCAAAAUCCUUGGUAUUGCUGCACUUUGUUAUUCCUGGUAUUACUUUGUAAUUCUGCAAGACGUCAUGUUGCAUGCUUUAGCAGAAACUUGUUAAAGGACCACUAUAGUGCCAGGAAAACAUACCCGUUUUCCUGGCACUAUAGUGCCCUGAGGGUGCCCCCACCCUCAGGGACCCCCUCCCGCCCGGCUCUGGAAGGGGAAAGGGGUAAAAACUUACCUUUUUCCAGCGCUGGGCGGAGAGCUCUCCUCCUCCUCUCCG
rnacentral:lncRNA from 1 species